rnacentral:rRNA from 1 species
UACGGAAGGGGCAAGCGUUGUUCGGAAUCAUUGGGCGUAAAGGGCGCGCAGGUGGCUCUGUAUGUCUGCCGUGAAAGCAUACAGCUCAACUGUAUUGUGUCGGUAGAAACUGCAGGACUUGAGGCUGGGAGGGGCUGGUGGAAUUCCCUGUCGUAGCGGUGAAAUGCGCAGAUAUCAGGAAGAACACCAAUGGCGAAAGCAGCUUUCUGGGACGGUACUGACGCUGAGACGCGAAAGCGUGGGGAGCGAACAGG